rnacentral:rRNA from 1 species
GACGAACGCUGGCGGCGUGCCUAAUACAUGCAAGUAGAACGCACAGUUUAUACCGUAGCUUGCUACACCAUAGACUGUGAGUUGCGAACGGGUGAGUAACGCGUAGGUAACCUGCCUGGUAGCGGGGGAUAACUAUUGGAAACGAUAGCUAAUACCGCAUAAUAUUAAUUAUUGCAUGAUAAUUAAUUGAAAGGUGCAAUUGCACCACUACCAGAUGGACCUGCGUUGUAUUAGCUAGUAGGUGAGGUAACGGCUCACCUAGGCGACGAGACAUAGCCGACCUGAGAGGGUGAUCGGCCACACUGGGACUGAGACACGGCCCAGACUCCUACGGGAGGCAGCAGUAGGGAAGCUUCGGCAAUGGACGAAAGUCUGACCGAGCAACGCCGCGUGAGGGAAGAAGGUUUUCGGAUCGUAAAGCUCUGUUGUAAGAGAAGAACGGGUGUGAGAGUGGAAAGUUCACACUGUGACGGUAUCUUACCAGAAAGGGACGGCUAACUACGUG